rnacentral:rRNA from 1 species
UACGAAGGGGUGCAAACGUUGCUCGGAAUCAUUGGGCGUAAAGCGCGUGUAGGCGGCUUUGCAAGUCGGGUGUGAAAGCCCUCGGCUCAACCGAGGAAGUGCGCCCGAAACUGCAGAGCUUGAGUGCCGGAGAGGAUGGCGGAAUUCCCCAAGUAGAGGUGAAAUUCGUAGAUAUGGGGAGGAACACCAGUGGCGAAGGCGGCUCACUGGCCCGGUACUGACGCUGAGGUGCGAAAGCGUGGGGAGCAAACAGG